rnacentral:lncRNA from 1 species
AUGAAGGCUGCUACAAAUCAGAGUAGCUCAUUUGCAGUUGAUGAAGUUGCAGCAAUGGGAUUUGCUUCUGGACCUUUUGGCAAAAGGGAUUUGACAGGUUUCGUUCAUCAGGAAACUUUUCAAAUUCAGAACCAAGAAGAAGAGACAGCUGCAGAAGAGCAUGUGACUGAUCAAACAACCCCCUGGGUAGGACACAAGCCCAUCCAAGGCCCUGCUGUGGAUUAUUGCUGUGAAGAAUCUUUCCAGCCUCAAGUGAGUGCCCCGGUGAGCCGAGCUGCCUAUUCGAGUUCUUUCUGUGUUAUGGGGCUUUCUUUCCAUGAAAGUGAUUUAAUUUUAUUUCAAUAUAUAAUAUGAAAAAGAGAAAUAAUAUUUUGAAGUUUCAUAAAACACAGUUACCUUCUGACCAGCAUUAGCAUCAAUACAACCACUUCCUCUUGUUUCCUUGCUGGAUGCUGUAUGUUGUGACUAUGUCAUCUUCUAUGUUUCUUUUCACUUUGUACUCCAUAUUUGAUUGUUCUGGCAAUCUUUUUCACGCUAUUUCUGUAACUCAUCAUGUGUCUUUAGUAAGAGAAUGUAAGAACAGAUUGAUUCACCAUGAUUCUCUUUGACAUUGCACUGUAAUUUUUUUUUUCAACUGUCUACAAAGGACCAGGGAAUUCCUUUAUUCCUAAAUUAUUUAUAUGAACACAAAUAGAAUACAGUGGCAGUAUAAUCUUUUAUUAAUAAACUUCUUAGAUACUGGCCCUGUUGCA